GGCCCUGUAGCUCAGUUGGUAGAGCAUGGUGCUUGUAAUUCCAGGGUAGUGGAUUCAAUUCCCAGGACCA
rfam:Salmo salar isolate Sally breed double haploid chromosome ssa23, whole genome shotgun sequence.